CGACCAUGUAAUAUCUCCAUGUAUACAUUGGUGCGUGUGUGGUAAUCCUGUGCUGGUCAUGAAAAAAUGAUCUAUCCUAGAGUGGGUCUUAUGCACUUGGGAGUAGUAGGUGUAGUCCUUAUCUCCUGGAUGUAGUGUGCGCCACACAUCGUAUAAGUUAAAUUGAAUUAGCAGUUUAUUAAGUUUGGCGCAGGCCGGUCUAAGAGAUGCCAGUCUGGGUUUUUUUGCGUCUAGUGUAGUGUCCAUUUCUGGGUCUAGGGUGUGGUUUAGGUCUCCACAGUAUAUUACUAUGCCUUGUUGUACAGUACUCACUUUAGUCAGUAUUUUAUGUAGGAAGUGCCAUUGAUUGUCGUUUGGUGCGUAGAUAUUGACUAUGGUGUAUGUGACAUCAUUGAGGUUGCAUAUUAGGAUGAGGUAUCUCCCAUUGGCGUCUUUAACUAUUUUGAGUGGAUCAAAUGCCACUGAUUUGUGUAUUAGAAUGCUAAC